rnacentral:rRNA from 1 species
UGGGGAAUUUUUGGACAAUGGGCGAAAGCCUGAUCCAGCAAUGCCGCGUGUGUGAAGAAGGCCUUCGGGUUGUAAAGCACUUUUGUCCGGAAAGAAAUCCUUGGCUCUAAUACAGUCGGGGGAUGACGGUACCGGAAGAAUAAGCACCGGCUAACUACGUGCCAGCAGCCGCGGUAAUACGUAGGGUGCAAGCGUUAAUCGGAAUUACUGGGCGUAAAGCGUGCGCAGGCGGUUUGCUAAGACCGAUGUGAAAUCCCCGGGCUCAACCUGGGAACUGCAUUGGUGACUGGCAGGCUAGAGUAUGGCAGAGGGGGGUAGAAUUCCACGUGUAGCAGUGAAAUGCGUAGAGAUGUGGAGGAAUACCGAUGGCGAAGGCAGCCCCCU